UUGAACGCUGGCGGCAUGCCUUACACAUGCAAGUCGAACGCGAAAGGGGGCAACCCUGAGUAGAGUGGCGAACGGGUGAGUAAUGCAUCGGAACGUGUCCUGUAGCGGGGGACAACCCCGAGAAAUCGGGGCUAAUACCGCAUACGUCCUACGGGAGAAAGUGGGGACCGCAAGGCCUCACACUAUAGGGGCGGCCGAUGCCGGAUUAGCUAGUUGGUGGGGUAAAAGCUCACCAAGGCGACGAUCCGUAGCUGGUCUGAGAGGAUGAUCAGCCACACUGGGACUGAGACACGGCCCAGACUCCUACGGGAGGCAGCAGUGGGGAAUUUUGGACAAUGGGCGCAAGCCUGAUCCAGCCAUGCCGCGUGAGUGAAGAAGGCCUUCGGGUUGUAAAGCCCUUUCGACGGGGAGGAAGGCACCGGCGCGAAUAGCGUUGGUGAUUGACGUAACCUGGAGAAGAAGCACCAGCUAACUCCGU
rnacentral:rRNA from 1 species